UGUUUGCAGCCCUUUGCAGAGAUGGAUUUCUUGCAGGAAUCUUGGAUGCUGAUGCUGCGGUGAGGACACUGGGACAGGGGGCACUGCCACGGCUAGGAUCAGACUGCCAGAGUCAAGGUGGGCAUAGUGCUGGGCUACUGACUGGGGAUGGAGCAGCAAUGACUGCAGAGACAGGGCAGGCAGGCUGGCAGCUACAAGGUGACAGAGACAGUAUGUUCUCAGGGGAUGGCGGCUCCACACACGGUGCUUGGCAGGUACAGGGAGGGUGACAUGCUGACAUGGGGUGACAUGGGCUGAGAGGGGUAACAGGGGAGGGCGACAUGCUGACAGGGGUGACAUGGGCUGAGAGAGGUAACAGGGGAGGGUGACAUGAGCUAAAAGAGAGGUAACAGGGGAGGGUGACAAGGCUGAGAGGGGUGACAUGCUGACAGGGGGUGACAUGGGCUGAGAGGGGUAACAGGGGAGGGUGACAAGGGCUGAGAGGGGUGACAUGCUGACAGGGGGUGACAUGGGCUGAGAGGGGUAACAGGGGAGGGUGACAAGGGCUGAGAGGGGUGACAUGGGCUGAGAGGGGUAACAGGGGAGGGUGACAAGGGCUGAGAGGGGUGACAUGGGCUGAGAAGGGUAACAGGGGAGGGUGACAAGGAUGACAUGCUGACAGGGGGUGACAUGGGCUGAGAGGGGUAACAGGGGAGAGUGACAAGGGCUGAGAGGGGCGACAUGCUGACAGGGGGUGACAUGGGCUGAGAGGGGUAACGGGAGGGUGACAAGGGCUGAGAGGGGUGACAUGCUGACAGGGGGUGACAUGGGCUGAGAGGGGUAACAGGGGAGGGUGACAAGGGCUGAGAGGGGUGACAUGCUGACAGGGGGUGACAAGGGCUGACAGGGGAGGGUGACAUGCUGACAUGGGCUGAGAGGGGUGACAGGGGAGGGAGACAUGCUGACAGGGGUGACAAGGACUGACAGGGGUGACAAGGACUGACAGGGGUAACACAGGAGGGUGACAUGGGCUGAGAGGGGUGACAGGGGAGGGUGACAUUGGCUGAAAGGGGAGGGUGACAUGUUGAUAGGACAAGGUUGACAUGAGCUGAGAGGGAAGGGUGACAUGAACUGAGAAGGGUGACAGUGACAGGGGAGUGUGACAGUGACAGGGAAGGGUGACAUGGGCUGACAGGGAAGGGUGACAUGAACUGAGAGGGGUGACAGUGACAGGGGAGGGUGACAUGGGCUGACAGGGAAGGGUGACAUGAACUGAGAGGGGUGACAGGGGACGGUGACAUGAACAGGGAAGGGUGACAUGAACUGUUGAGAGGGCUGGAACAGACGCUGUGGCAGUUACAGGGGAGGGUGAUAUUCAACAGUUCCUGAUAUUCCACCUUCUGAUGCUGUUAAUGGCGUUGGUUAAAUAUCAGCAAGGCCUACGGGCAGCCCCUAUAUGGUGAAGAUUUAAUAGAAGAUGCAUGUAUUGCUAUAGUCAGUUUUCAGUCUCUAUAGAGAGUAUGCAGUGUAUUGUCCCUAUAUUAUCUCAAGUGGUGGAGAGAGAGAGAGAGAGAGAGAGAGAGAGAGUACCCCUCUAUACUGUGUACAGACAGAGAGAGAGUACCCAUCUAUACUGUGUACAGACAGAGAGAGAGUACCCAUCUAUACUGUGUACAGAGAGAGAGUUCCCCUCUAUACUGUGUACAGACAGAGAGAGAGAGAGAGAGUGUACCCCUCUAUACUGUGUACAGACAGAGAGAGAGUUCCCCUCUAUACUAUGUACAGACAGACAGAGAGUACCCAUCUAUACUGUGUACAGACAGAGAGAGAGUACCCAUCUAUACUAGGUACAGAGAGAGAGUUCCCCUCUAUACUGUGUACAGACAGACAGAGAGUACCCAUCUAUACUGUGUACAGACAGAGAGAGAGUACCCAUCUAUACUGUGUACAGAGAGAGAGUUCCCCUCUAUACUGUGUACAGACAGUGGCAGAGUACCCACCUAUACUAUGUACAGAGAGAGAGAGAGAGAACCCCUCUAUAUUAUGUACAGAGAGAGUGUUACCCUCCAUACUAUGUACAGACAGUGGCAGAGUACUCCUCUAUGAGAGAGAGAGAGAGAGAGAACCCCUCUAUACUAUGUACAGAGAGAGUACCCCUCUAUAUUAUGUAUAGACAGAGAGAGAGUACCCCUCUGUACUAUGUACAGACAGAGAGAGAGUUCCCCUCUAUACUAUGUACAGACAGAGAGAGAGUUCCCCUCUAUACUAUGUACAGACAGAGAGAGACUAACUUGUGACGGAACGCCUUGCACCCCGACCGGUUACCUCCAUCAAUUGCUGCUUCCUGGUACUUGCGAGCACCAUAAUGAGAGAGAGUUCCCCUCUAUACUAAAUACAGACAAUGCGAGAGUACUCCUCCAUACUAUGUUCUCUAUCUAUACUAUGUACAGACAGUGUCAGAGUACUCUAUCUAUACUAUGUACAGACAGUGACACAGUACUCUAUCAAUACUAUGUACAGACACAAAGAGAGAUAACCCCUCUAUACUAUGUACAGACAGUGACACAGUACUCUAUCAAUACUAUGUACAGACAGUGACAGAGUACUCCAUCUACACUAUGUACAGACAGUGACAGAGUACUCCAUCUACACUAUGUACAGACAGUGGCAACCGUAUAGUAGCCGUAUGACCUGUAUUAGCUGGCAAUACAGACUGCACACUCAUGUUAGUUUUAUAUUUGAAGCUUUUAUUAAGUGUUCUUGCAUAGCAAGACCACUUAAUGUUAUCUCACAUAUAUAUUAUUAUUAUAACCAAAUUUACCACCAACUCCUCCCACAGUUUUUACACUACAUAGACCGUAAUAUACCCAAACGUGUGGAUUGUUCCCGAUCGGAUUGCUAUUACUUUGGUUCACGGAAUAUCGUCGUUCUUGUGGCGCAAUUUGUCCCAUAGGAAUGAAUGGCAAAAUGUUCAAAACUAGAGUGGGAGCUGGCAAAAGCUGAAAAAUCAGGACAUUAUUUCGAAACUGCCACCACUCCCUCAUUUUCAAGCCCUCCUACACAAAUCUUAUAUCAAAACGUUCAGCUAUCCCUGCUGCCACUAAACAUGUCAGAGACAUACUAUGCAUCGAAAUGUAGGUCUGGGUCUUGUGAUUCUCACAAUAUAAAGCUCUUCGCUGUAGGAUGUAUAGUUUUUAAAAUAUGACCGUUUGAAAAUGGCAACCACCAAAAUACUCUGACCUGUCAAGGCUGCAGCAGCAAGUGAUGUCAUAGACAGGGCCUUUUGUACACCUGCUAAUGUUUUUAUAAAUGUAUGGUUUAAUGUAACUGUGAAGCACUUUGGACAACAACGUUGCAAUUAAAUGUGUGUGGCGGAACCAACCUCGCCACUGUGCACUGGAGAAGCCUGGUUGCUCGCCUGCUCCCUUUAGAUUAUGGCCCUGCAGUUCAGAGCUGUUAUUCUCCCUGCUGAAAGGUUUAUUCGUGCCUUUCUGCCAGGGUGUUCGGUAGAUUUCAUAUCAAACUACCGAACGAUGGACCACCUGGGAGCUGGAGUGUGCCGUCAAUUGACCGCCCAGAAGUUGCGGUUAACCGCAGCUUAAUUGAUGAACGCUGGGUGGCCUUUGUUCGUCUGCCGAACACGUGGCAGCGGCCAUUUUACCUCCCGAACGGCCAGCGGUGUUCAGCGCCCAAACUAUGGAACUGAAAACGGACACUUAUUGGCGCGAACACAGCUGAGCCGCCAGCCUCCUUACCUCACCAUUUGGUAAGCAGAACCGAAUGACUGUUCAUUUGGUAGUUUAACCGGAUGAACAGCAUCCCUCAGAUAGCUAAGGCAUGGAGCCUAUUCGUGUAACGAAAGACUAUGGGAAAGACUUUGGCUCCAUGGCGAUUGAACUGUAUGUAUGUGAUCUGAGCGCCAUUCGGUAGUAAUGUGUGCUCAGAUCUAAGCUAUCUGGGGAUAUGUAGAAUGUAUAUGUUUUAGAUAAUAAAUGUGACUGUAUGUAAUUUUAUGUCUUUUACUGUAUUGUUACUGCCAUGAGGUUAAUGGAGUUUUGCCUCUGUCCUGGGAGUUAAGUGGAUUACUUCCCCAAUUAUCUCUAGGACAGAGAGGAGGGAUUGUGAUGUAAUUGUGGGAGUGUUAAAGGUGUAUGUCUGUGAUUGGCUAAGAGCCAAUAUGUUUCCCAUUUGGUCACCUAGGGGAGUGUCCACCAGGUGGGAGACCUGCAUAAAAGCCGGGCAGUUAGCCCCAUUAAACCAGAUUCUGCUUGACCCUCAAACCGAAGUGUCGUCUCGUCUUUGGGGGGGGAUUUACUGUAUGCUGCUAGAGACUGAUUGCCAGGAGUGUAAGCCGCUUGGGGGCUUUUCCUGUUCGUCUGCUAACAGCUAUUCGUGUGUCUCUAGUUCGGGAGUUUGGAGUGCUACUUGAUAUGCAGUUCGGGAGUUUCGAGUAUUCCCUUGGUUGCAGUUCGGGAGUUGGUGAAUUCUUGGGUUUGCAGUAGCUGUCUGUGCAUCUGAAAAAGGGGAAUAUCGCCUAAACGGUUUUUAACCUCUUGUGGGCAAAACGGUCCGUUACAAUGUGCUAUAUAAAUAAAUAAUAACAGUUACUCCGCCCACUCCAGUUGUAGACUACUGAUGGAGGCAAGAACACUUCACACGAUUUCCCCAGAAAUUGUAGCUUUUCUAGUUUUAUGUUAUACUUUUUAUUUUGUUGUUUUAAUUUAUGGCCCAACAUGGGUCUUAAUUUAAUGGAUUUGAACAUGGUUUUUAAUAUAUAUUAAAAUAUUUUUCAAAAUAAUAAAUCAUUUUAAAAAAAAUGUCCUAAAAUAUUAAAAUGAUUUAAGAAAUGUACCUACAAAUAUUAAAUUGAGGCCACAGAUUAAUAUAAUAUUUUAAUAGAUAUAGAAUUACAAUUAUUUAUACAACACCAACUUAUUCCCCAGCGCUGUACAAUAGGUAAACAUGACAGACAUUCAAUUCUAACAAAGCAUGUUUGUACCUGCUUACAGGCCAUCAGGGACAGCUGCCCUAAAGAUUUAAUAGGACUUUUUAAGGAGAACCUAGGUUUAGUUACUAGCAAAGUCUUAUUAAACCAGAAGAUAAAAGCUGCCUGUUAGAGUUGAGGUGCUUAUUAGUUAGAAGUCUCACAGCUUUUAUUUCUUUUGAUGAUAGCGUUUGUACAAAUAUCUGUUUGACAGCAACCGGCUGAAAGGGGAAGUGGCAGUAACUUUGAUCUUUAAGUUAAAGUGGAAUUUACACAAAGCACAGUGAGUAUCAUUGUCGUGGAGCUCUGAGAUACCUUCAUUUGCACUGCACGUUGCUUUGAGGUUUAAUGUUGUGGAGCACUGUGAUACUCUCAUAAAUACUGUAAAUUGUAUCACUCUGAAACUCAGUGAUAUAUGUGAGUUAUGCUGCUUUGGAGCUCUGUGAUGUAUCCAAACACACUAUACAUUAAUGUAAUUUUCUCUGCGGUGUUUUAUUACUGUGGAGCUUUGUGACAUAUCCAUACACAAUUCACAUUACCAAUAGUUUAAUCAGUGUGGAGCUUCCAUACACACUGCACAGUACAUUGCAUUUUAAUACUAUGGAGCUCUGCGAUAUAUCCAAUCACACUGCACAGUACAUUGCAUUUUAGUACUGUGGAGCUCUGCGAUAUAUCCAAUUACACUGCACAGUAAAUUGCAUUUUAGUACUGUUGAGCUCUGCGAUAUAUAUCCAAUCACACUGCACAGUACAUUGCAUUUUAGUACUGUGGAGCUCUGCGAUAUAUCCAAUCACACUGCACAGUAAAUUGCAUUUUAGUACUGUUGAGCUCUGCGAUAUAUAUCCAAUCACACUGCACAGUACAUUGCAUUUUAGUACUGUGGAGCUCUGCGAUAUAUCCAAUCACACUGCACAGUAAAUUGCAUUUUAGUACUGUUGAGCUCUGCGAUAUAUAUCCAAUCACACUGCACAGUACAUUGCAUUUUAGUACUGUGGAGCUCUGCGAUAUAUCCAAUCACACUGCACAGUAAAUUGCAUUUUAGUACUGUUGAGCUCUGCGAUAUAUAUCCAAUCACACUGCACAGUACAUUGCAUUUUAGUACUGUGGAGCUCUGGAUAUAUCCAAUCACACUGCACAGUACAUUGCAUUUUAGUACUAUGGAGCUCUGCGAUAUAUCCAAUCACACUGCACAGUACAUUGCAUUUUAGUACUGUGGUUCUCUGCAUAUCCAAUCACACUGCACAGUACAUUGCAUUUUAGUACUGUGGAGCUCUGCGACAUAUCCAAUCACACUGCACAGUAAAUUGCAUUUUAGUACUGUGGAGCUCUGCGAUAUAUCCAAUUACACUGCACAGUACAUUGCAUUUUAGUACUGUGGAGCUCUGCAAUAUAUCCAAUCACACUGCACAGUAAAUUGCAUUUUAGUACUGUUGAGCUCUGCGAUAUAUCCAAUCACACUGCACAGUACAUUGCAUUUUAGUACUGUGGAGCUCUGCGACAUAUCCAAUCACACUGCACAGUACAUUGCAUUUUAGUACUGUGGAGCUCUGCGAUAUAUCCAAUCACACUGCACAGUACAUUGCGUUUGUUGGGUAAUUGAAGAUUAUAUUAGCUUUUAGUGUACUAAUAAUCUUAAUUUUAGUAAUGACAGGAGGCGAAUAUUUGCAUAUCUUUCUUUACUGAAAACUCCAGCAGCAUAGAAACAGUAACAACCAAUCAGAAAAAAGAUAUGGUGCCCAUAAAAGGCCCUGUCUAUGACAUCACUUCCUCUUUCUUUGAAGCGAAAAUUAGGUAACAACAAAAACACAAACAUAUUCAGUUAACAGUUCAACAAUAUAGAAGGAAACAUAACUCCGGUAAUUCCAUGGUGUAACGGUAUGAGAAGGCGAGUUCUUGUCCCGAAGAGAAGACGUUCACGCUGAAAUAAAAAGAAAAGGGUGAAAGGUCUCUGAAGUGGACACCUGUCCGCAUGCAACAAACAUAAGAAACCUGACAAUUCUAAUGGAUACAGACUGUGAUAACUAUCAACACUGUAUAAAAAAAACCGUAAGUUAAAACAUUCAAUAAGUAAAACAAACAUAACACAAUGUACAUGAUCACGAACCCAACAAUGUCGUACUAGAGACAGCUACAUGUCUAAGCAGUAAUACAAUCCUAACAUGCAUGCUAUCCUGAACACUAGAACAUACACUAUAUAACACAAGACAAACUAGGGAGGGAUCCUAUAGGGUGGGAAAUAUUCGCCUCCUGUCAUACUAAAAUUAAGAUUAUUAGUACACUAAAAGCUAAUAUAAUCUUCAAUUUUACCACAUGACAGGAGGCUUCAUAUUUGCAUUUUUAAAGCUUAGAAUUGACUAGUGUGAAGGAGGCGUGAGAGGAUUGGCGAAAAUAAAAUGUCCUAAACGUACUCUCCCGAGUCCAGUCAGCGCAACGCAUAAUGUCGGGUAGGGAUGCGCCUGCCAAGAAGGCUUGGGAUGCUGCCGCACCCCUGACCGAAUGUGCUCCAAAGCUAGGUUCGAUACCUGCUAGUCCCAGUAGCCAGCGUACCCAUCUGGCCAGGGUUGUUGUAGACACCGGAGCGUGAGGUCUUACAUAGGAGAUCAGCAGCUGACCCGUCGGGGUGAGCCGAAGGUUGGCUGUGACUUCCGUAUACCUCAGGAGUGUCCUGACAACGCACAGCUUGGAGUCCGAUUCGAAGUAUGGAUAAGACACUGAGGACGAGUCUGAUUUAGUCCGUCUAGAAAUGGAGAAGGUGACCCCCUCCGGAGUGAGAGAGAAACCGUCCACGUCAAAGGCCCUAACGUCUGACACCCGUCGAAAUGAGACGAGGCAUAACAAAAGGGCCAGUUUCGCUGAAAGCUGUUUCAGCGAUAGAACGGGGUUGUCCGGCCAGCCCCGCAGGAAAUCCAGCACCCCAUUCACCUGCCAGAGGUUGGAGUAUUUGGGUGCAGGGGGUCUUGUAAGUUUGGCACCUCGCAGUAGACGGCAUACCAGAGGAUCUUGACCCACUGGCCUGCCUUGUACUGGGACGUGCACCGCUGAAAUAGCCGAUCUGAUCACGUUAAGGGAUCUAUAUGAUCGACCCGUCGAGAACAGAUGAGCGAGAUAGUUGAGGAUCAGUGGGACAGAGGCAGUAAAGGGAUCGGAAUCCCUUUCCAUGCACCAAGCACUCCAGGCUGACCAGGCGGAUAUGUAACAUCUCCUGGUGCCGGGGGCCCAUGAGUCCCAUAGGAGGUCUGUAGUAGGUUGCGAUAGGCCAUGGACCGACCAGGAGCCCCUGAAAUCGUCCAGGCCACCAGUUCUAGUUGUCCUUCCAGGACGAGGGGAUGGGGUUCCCCUCGAGGUCCCGACAGGAGCAACGGGUAGGUCGGGAGCCGAAGGGGAUGGUCGUGCGACAUCUCCAGGAGGUCCGGAAACCAUGGUUGGCUCUGCCAAAGUGGUGUUAUGAGCAGGAGCGAUAUCCUGUGAGUGCGGGUGUAUCGCAGUACCCUUGGGAUCAGUGAGAAUGGAGGGAAAGCAUAGGCCCCAAGGGAGGGCCAGUCCUGCAGGAAUGCAUCCGCUGCUUCGCCCUUCGGAUCCGGAAGCCAACUGUAGUACCUUGGUAGUUGGUGGUUGGUCCUGGAGGCGAACAAGUCUAUUGUUAGAGGGCCCAAUCGCUGACGUAGCGUCUGAAAUAUCUCCCUGUUGAGUUUCCAGUCGCUGGUGUCUCUCCAGUGGCGGGAGAACCAAUCCGCCGUCAGGUUGGAGAUACCUGGGAGGUAUUCUGCUUGCAGCGUGAUGUUCCUCCGUAGGCAGAAACUGUAGAUGUCUUUCGUGGCUUCCGUCAGGUCCUUUGACCUCGCUCCGCCCAGGCGGUUGAUGUAUUGUACCGCUGAGACAUUGUCCAUGUGGAGCAGGAUACAGCAAUUCGACCUGUCUUUGGCCAGGCUGCGGAUGGCGAAGGAUCCCGCGAUCAGUUCCAAGCAGUUGAUGUGUAGGCUUGUCUCCUCCUCCUGCCAUGGGCCUCCCGUGGAGGCGUCCGUGCAAUGAGCGCCCCAUCCGCACAGGCUGGCGUCCGAUUCCACUAUGAAGUCCGGCGAAGGGCCGAAGAUCACUUUGCCGUUCCAGGCUUGUAUAUGUAGUAACCACCAUCGUAGUUCCGACCUCACUUCCGACGAGAGUGGGAUCCAGUGGUCGUAGGAGUGUCCGGUGCGCAGAUAUUCUGCUUUCAGCCGUUGCAUGGCCCUGUAGUGUAGAGGGCCCGGGAAUAUCGCUUGUAUGGAGGAGGAAAAGAGUCCCACGAUUCGAGCGAGCAUCCUGAGCGGGAUUGUGUCCAUCUUCAGGACCCGUCUGAUUUCCUUCCUUAUUGAGGCUAUCUUUUUUGAUGGAAGGCGUAGUACACAUUCCUUCGAAUCUAUGUCGAACCCCAGGAAUUGGACCGACUGGGAGGGAGAGAGAGACGACUUCUGUCUGUUCACUACGAAACCCAGGGAUUCUAGCGAGUGAACGACAAAUUUCGUCUGUGAUUGCAGCCUGGAUGCGGAUUCGCAAAAGAUUAGCAAAUCGUCCAAGUAAACGAGGCAUCGUAUGCCCCUCGUUCGGAUGUGAGCCAUCACUGGUCUAAGCAGCUUCGUGAAGCACCACGGAGCUGAGCUGAGGCCGAAUGGCAGGCAGGUAAAUUGGCAUAUCCGUCCUUUCCAUCGGAAACGGAGGAAUUACCUGCAUUGGACGUCCACUGGGACGGAUAAAUACGCAUCUUUGAGGUCCAGGCGAGUAAACCAGUCGUUCUCGACGAGAAGGUCUUGUAGAAGGUGGAUUCCUUCCAUCUUGAAGUGUCUGUAGAUUACGAAUGAGUUUAACUGUUGGAGGUUGAUAACCGGCCUGUAUUCGCCCGUCUUCUUCUUGACCAAGAAAAUGUUGCUUAGAAAGCCUCCCCCGUCUGGUGCGUAUUGUAUCGCGCCUUUCUCGAAGAGAGCGCAGACCUCUUCGUCUAUUAGGUGGCUUUGUCCUGCUGACAUGUGGAUUGGGGGAGGGGGGGGCGCUUUGAAUGGGUCGGGUGGCGAAGUCUAUGACGAAACCCCGAACCGUCUGGAGGACCCAGGCGUCUUUGGUAAUCAGUUCCCAGUUCUGGAAGAAAAAGGAAAGGUUGCCUGCAAUAAAUUUUGAUGCAUUUGUGUAUAUAGGUGGACUCACCAUUGGAGGAGCGGCCGCGGCCACGGCCUCUGAACCCCCUGGAUCUCCCCGUUCCUCUGAACGAUGAAGGCCUUUGCGUCGUAGACGGGAAGAAAUUCGGGGCUUGUGGGAAAGGUCUGGAACCUGAGGCCCAAAAACGGCUGGUGGCACGGUUCCGUUGUCGACCAGCCCUUCCAAAAACACCUCUUGUGGAUGGGGUGUGGAACACCUGUUUGAGAGAGGUUUGAGCCUUGUUCAGGGUUGUGAAUAGGUUCACUUGCCUUUUAAGUUCCGCGAUGAAGGCAUCGCCAAAAAGUAGGCCAUGAGCUUUUGGUCCGAAUUCUUUAGCCCCGAGGUCCAGGAGCUUGCUGUCAAUACGUAUUAGUGCCGAUCUGCGCCUUUCGACACAAAGUGCGGCAUUAGCAUUGCCCAGUAGACACACAGCGCGUUGAGCCUAUUCACGGAUGACAUGGGGGUCCAGUUGAGAGUCUUGGCUGAGAGCGAGAUCCGCGAAGUAUAGCAUCUUGGCAAUGGGGCCGAGCAAGUCCAGCACUUUGUCCUGUGCCGCUUUCAUGCCCUUUUCCGCCCCUUUGCGUGGGUCCCUGCCCGUGCGUGACAUGAAGACCACCAUAGUGUCGUCGAAUUCGGGCGUCAGCGCCACCUUGUCGGGAAUUAGUGGCCUGGGACAUUCAGUCCUGAGGCGUGCCCGUACCUCCUUCUCCAGCGGUUUGCGCAGCCAAUAAUGUAUGAACUUCGCCAGGUGAUCUGGCAGUGUCCAUUCCGAGGACCGUGGGUGUCGGAUGGUGCGCGGAUCGAACAGCGGUGUCCCUUGGUCGUCCAAGAAGACCCCGUCUUCAGACUGGCCGGUGUGGAGGUCGUCGUCGAGUUCCUUGGCCCGGUUGCCGAGGAAGGUCUCCUUGACAUAUUUUGAAGAGGUGGGGGGAAGGUCUUGCCAUUCUUCGUCGUCUGAGGGCGAGCCGUCCCCGUGCCACUCGUCCACCACAUCCAGUGCCUGCGGCAUGUAGGCAUCGUCCUCGUCCGAGGAUUGAGGCGGGAAGGACGUGGGUUGUCGGUCCGCGUUCCUAAUGCGCUUGACGGGCAACUUGCCCCUAGUCUUGGUGGGGGGAGGACUCGAAACCUUCCUUUGUCUCUUGGCCUUUGACACCUCAGAGCCUGAAGCUUCCAUGCGUUCAGGGGGGUUUGUGUCAUCUUGGCCGUGGGGUAGCGCCCGCAAGAGGGCCUUUUCUACCGAAGCCGCCACGGCGGCGUUGAUCAUGGUUUGGAAGUCUUGGGUGCUUUGAGUAUCUUCCAUGAUCUGGGGCUUGUAUCGACCUGUUGGGCGAAAACAAGGUUCAGUGGAGGAGAGCCACGUACAGAUAUAGAUUGACUCUGAGUAUGUUUAGAAGGCUCUAUAUGCACGUAAUAUUUGAUUCAGGGCAAAAUGCGUAUCUCAGUACCUAGGAGGUAUGGGCCCUUGUGCAUAUCAACGGGGUUCGCCCCGGGUGGUGUGCCGUGGCAAUCAGAGGACACCCACAUCAAUUAAAUUGGGUCGUCAGCGCCCUUGCAUGCGUAUCUGGGGGGUCACCCCAGGUGGUGUGCCAUGAAAAAAUACCCAGAGGACACCCACAUAAAUUUGCACCCUUAGGUACAGUCGUGUAAUAUGACCCUGUGUAGGGUAAUUAAUAUAUCAUACCCCUGAGGGUAAAGUAAUGUCAGAUCCCCUGUGGGGUAUAAAUGUAUAUGUCCCAGCAAGGGACAGUGAGUCAAUCUGUACAAUUGAUAAAGAGCCUUUAAUAGUCAACUUCAUAAUACAUUUCAUGUGCAUGCAAUUUCUCUGCCUCACUGAGGCAAAAAUACAGUGUGGGAAAAAACUCACCCUUGAAGGGUGUAGGUGUAGCAUAAAAAAUAUGAUGGGCACUUGUGAGCAGCUGGGGGGUCACCCUGAGGGCACUCCCCGGUAUCGUGGCGGCGAUCGGGUGAAUCCCGAACCGCCGUGUGUGAAGGUGAGGCGGCCGUCGCGGAUCUCGCGGCAAACUAAAAAUAAAAAUAAAACCCCGGCUACCCUCCACCCGUCCCCAACAGCCCCUGUGUGUGGAGAAAAAGCGGGUCCGCGUGGUGAGUGUGGCACCGACGGCCGCGCCGCCCGCCGAAAGAGAAAAUAAGGGGAAAAAUAACACAGCAGAACAGAGACACAGGGGGGAAAUACUAAAGAGCAGGGGGACAGGUAUAGGCAGUCAGGGGUUAAAGUAGUACAAUAAAAACACAAUAAAAAAUACAGCAAUACAUAAGGUAUACUAGAGGUAAAAUUACUCUGACCUGUAUAUGGCUGGAGCAGCAAAGAAAGAGGAAGUGAUGUCAUAGACAGGGCCUUUUAUGGGCACCAUAUCUUUUUUCUGAUUGGUUGUUACUGUUUCUAUGCUGCUGGAGUUUUCAGUGAAGAAAGAUAUGCAAAUAUGAAGCCUCCUGUCAUGUGGUAAAAUCUAAGGUUUUAUAUGUAUGGAAUAUAGAUUGAAUAAUAGCUGAUGAUAUUCACACACACAUAGGGACCCUGUAGUUCUUUGUUUUAAGCGGUGAUAUAAACACUUAUGGUUUAAGCGGUGAUAUAAACACUUAUGGUUUAAGCGGUGAUAUAAACACUUAUGGUUUAAGCGGUGAUAUAAACACUUAUGGUUUAAGCGGUGAUAUAAACACUUAUGGUUUAAGCGGUGAUAUAAACACUUAUGGUUUAAGCGGUGAUAUAAACACUUAUGAACGGCAGAUGGCCAAUAAACAGACUUUGCUUAAAAUAAAUAUAAAUUUAAUAAUACACACUAUAAAAUGCAAAGCAACAAAACAAUACAACUAUAAUCAAUUUGCUGUAUUAUAUAUGCGUUUCCAUCAACAAGUCAAUUAGCUUACUUGACAAGCCUAAGAGUCAACAUUACACUUUGUCUCAUCUAUAAUCUUAUCAACAAAGGACAAUAAAAGCUAUUACAAACUUCCCAGCAAUACCAGUAUACAGAAUUAAUCAUAUGCCACCCCUUGCAUUAAUGAUACAAUUGUCAUUAUAUUAAUUAGUUAAAUAUCAACCAACCCUGCCAAGUAUAUACCAUCAGUUUAACUACAGUGCGUUUAUAUAAGGUUUCUGAUAGCCUUAGUAUAUAUAUUGAACUGAUCUACGUCUAAAGAAGGAAUCAAGAAUGUUCUGACUUAGGAAGUUAUAUCUGACUCCGGCUGCAGGUAGAAUGAGAUAUAACUGUUCUAUCAAUAGGGAUCAGUUCACAAUAUAGACACAUAGGGCAUUCAAUAGUCCCGUUUAUUUAAUAUAAAGUAAAGAGAAACCUUUAUACAUUACCAAGAGUCUAGGAUGAAUUAAUUCAAUUUGGGAUUCUCCUCUCUGGGUGCUCUGGUCUGUAAUUCAGUCUAUUGCCCUUAGUCAGUCAAUCUCCUGCUUUCUUAGCCCUCUGUUUUCUCCUUUGAUCUUUUUAAGAUGAUCUGAAGAUAUCGAUCCUCUUUUAUUUUUCUCACUAUUUAACCAUUAUUUCCCCCUUAUCAGUUCCUGCCCCUUGUUUGUAAAUGGGCGGUACCUGGGACUUAAAUCUGGCUUUUGAUUGGUUAUGGGCGUAUCUUAAUAUUUAAUUAUUAAUGUGGCCCUUAAGACUUUCCUCAAUAGAUGGCACUAGGUAUGAAGACCUGAAUUAGAUCAUUGAUGACCUGCUUAAAUAAAUGAAUUGACCUUUAAUUCGCCUAUACUGGGGAUAUUUCAAAUUACGUUAAAUAUCUGUCUUUGGUUAUGUAUAUUGUUUAAUUAAAACAGGGUUGGUUAUAUUAAUCAUCAUGCAAUAUGUCUAUAUCCUGUAUCAAUCUAACCUGUAUGAUUAACUGAUUGAUACAUUCAUCUUUACAAAGAAAAAUAGAAUCUAAUUAUAUUAGUAUAUCUAUAUUACCUUUUACCCCUAAAUCAGUCAAGGAUGCAGUUAUAGGCAUUACUGUAGCAAUCACACAUUUAGUUUACAUUUAUAUAUCAUGCAUGAUUCCAAUAGAUUCAUUUAAGUUCUAAUAUCCUGAAAACAUGGCAGCGACCUUAGACUUUGGGCUCGUAUGGCUGACAAACACUCUGGAUUACCUGUGAUGUUUAUACACAAACAAUUGCAUAGUUUGUAUACCCCUUUGAAGCUCUGUGAGUUUAAGUAUCUCAGGAUUGUAAAGUCUCAUUGAGUAAUAAACCAUUGUUCUCGUUACCCUUGUACACCUACAGCUCACAUAUUGUUUUCUUUUAAUAUUAAAAAUUAUGGGGCACCAAAUAGCACAACACAUUUUAGUACUGUGGAGCGCUGCGACAUAUCCAAUCAUACUACACAGUACAUUGCAUUUUAGUACAGUGGAGCUCUGUGAUAUAUCCAUACACAAUUCACUUUACCAAUAGUUUAAUCAGUGUGAAGCUCUGUGAUACAGCCAUAUCUACUGAACAUAACUGAGUUUUACUGCUGUGGAGCUCUGUGAUGCACUCAUAGCAAAUUGCAAAUCUAGGAGAUUGAGGACAUUGUGUAGUGAAUAUAAUAUAUUAAAUGUGACGCACAUUUCUUCAGUAACUGCUGUGAUUGGCCCUGUGUGUGAUUUUAGCUAAAUUUGCUCCUUCUCUUUGUAUAAUCAGUAUAUUUACACAGUGUUCUUGCCACCCCUUCCCCACUGAUAGAGAGAUUUAAAGGGACACUAUAGUCACCUGAACAACUUUAGCUUAAUGAAGCAGUUUUGGUGUAUAGAACAUGCCCCUGCAGCCUCACUGCUCAAUCCUCUGCCAUUUAGGAGUUAAAUCCCUUUGUUUAUGAACCCUAGUCACACGUCCCUGCAUGUGACUUGCACAGCCUUCCAUAAACACUUUCUGUAAAGAGAGCCCUAUUUAGGCUUUCUUUAUUGCAAGUUCUGUUUAAUUAAGAUUUUCUUAUCCCCUGCUAUGUUAAUAGCUUGCUUGACCACUCCUGUAUGUGAUUAAAGUUCAAUUUAGAGAUUGAGAUACAAUUAUUUAAGGUAAAUUACAUCUGUUUGAAAGUGAAACCAGUUUUUUUUUUCAUGCAGGCUCUGUCAAUCAUAGUCAGGGGAUGUGUGGCUAGGGCUGCAUAAACAGAAACAAAGUGAUUUAACUCCUAAAUGACAGUAAAUUGAGCAGUGAAAUUGCAGGGGGAAUGAUCUAUACACUAAAACUGCUUUAUUUAGCUAAAAGUAAUUUAGGUGACUAUUGUGUUCCUUUAAGCCUAAAUGAGAGUAAAUUAGCAUUAAACCCUAGCUAGUGUCAUUUUGCUGGUGACCCCUGUGAUUAUCACCUCCUAAGCACUCAUUACACCACAGUCUCAGUGUACAAUACACUAUCUGGGACAGUCGGGACAACGGGACUCAUGUUUUCUCCAUACAAGGUUUGACUGUACUAUUUGUAAUGAAUAAUAAUUAUGCACAUUGCCAUUUCCCCCAUACAAGGUUUAACUGUACUGGUUACAGUGUUUAGGGUAGGGGUGCCCAAAAGGUAGAUCCCCAGAUGUUGUAGAACUACAACUCCCAUGGUGCUUUGCAUGUCUUUAGAAUGACAAAGCAUCAUGGAAGCUGAGGUUUUAAAAUAACUGGGAUUUACGUUUUGGGCACCCCUGGUGUAAGUUUUGGUUUCCAGUGUGUAUGAUUUAGCUGUACCAGUUACGGUGUGUGAUGUUUGUCGGUGAUGGUUACAAUGUGGGAUGUUUGGCAGUGAUGGUUACAGUGUGUGAGGUUUGGCAGUGAUGGUUAAAUUGUGUGAGGUUUGGCAGUGAUGGUUACAGUGUAUGAGGUCUGACAGUGAUGGUUACAGUGUGUGAGGUUUGGCAGUGAUGGUUACAGUGUGUGAGGUUUGGCAGUGAUGGUUACAGUGUGUGAGGUUUGGCAGUGAUGGUUACAGUGUGUGAGGUUUAGCAGUGAUGGUUACAGUGUAUGAGGUUUGGCAGUGAUGGUUACAGUGUAUAAUGUUUGGCAGUGAUGGUUACAGUGUAUGAGGUUUGGCAGUGAUGGUUACAGUGUGUGAGGUUUAGCAGUGAUGGUUACAGUGUGUGAGGUUUGGCAGUGAUGGUUACAGUGUGUGAGGUUUGGCAGUGAUGGUUACAGUGUGUGAGGUUUAGCAGUGAUGGUUACAGUGUGUGAGGUUUGGCAGUGAUGGUUACAGUGUGUGAGGUUUAGCAGUGAUGGUUACAGUGUAUGAGGUUUGGCAGUGAUGGUUACAGUGUGUGAGGUUUAGCAGUGAUGGUUACAGUGUGUGAGGUUUGGCAGUGAUGGUUACAGUGUAUGAGGUUUGGCAGUGAUGGUUACAGUGUGUGAGGUUUAGCAGUGAUGGUUACAGUGUGUGAGGUUUGGCAGUGAUGGUUACAGUGUGUGAGGUUUGGCAGUGAUGGUUACAGUGUGUGAGGUUUAGCAGUGAUGGUUACAGUGUGUGAGGUUUGGCAGUGAUGGUUACAGUGUGAGGUUUAGCAGUGAUGGCUAAGCAGCGUGUGAGGCUUGGCAGUGAUGGUUAUGAAAGUGUGUGAGGUUUGCAGUGAUGGUUACAGUGUGUGAGGUUUAGCAGUGAUGGUUACAGUGUGUGAGGUUUGGCAGUGAUGGUUACAGUGUGUGAGGUUUAGCAGUGAUGGUUACAGUGUAUGAGGUUUGGCAGUGAUGGUUACAGUGUGUGAGGUUUAGCAGUGAUGGUUACAGUGUGUGAGGUUUAGCAGUGAUGGUUACAGUGUAUAAUGUUUGGCAGUGAUGGUUACAGUGUGUGAGGUUUGGCAUUGAUGGUUACAGUGUGUGAGGUUUGGCAGUGAUGGUUACAGUGUGUGAGGUUUGGCAGUGAUGGUUACAGUGUAUGAGGUUUGGCAGUGAUGGUUACAGUGUAUGAGGUUUGGCAGUGAUGGUUACAGUGUGUGAGGUUUAGCAGUGAUGGUUACAGUGUGUGAGGUUUGGCAGUGAUGGUUACAGUGUGUGAGGUUUAGCAGUGAUGGUUACAGUGUGUGAGGUUUAGCAGUGAUGGUUACAGUGUGUGAGGUUUGGCAGUGAUGGUUACAGUGUGUGAGGUUUGGCAGUGAUGGUUACAGUGUACGAGCAUUGUUUGUGCCAAUUAUAGUGGGAAUUUUACUUUUUAAAGAGGAGCCGCCACUUCCCAAGGAUAUUUCAUAUACUAUUUACCUAUUUUAUACUGUAUCUAUAUUUAACAAACAUGUAUUAGUGAGAGGUGAAAAAAUAAAAAAUUCAAUGAAAAAAAUCCCCAUCUCUAUAUCCUAUAACUGGGUGCCUCCAUCUUAGCUCCCUGUCAAUCAUUGUUAUAAGCUCCGCCCUUUACACCUGGCAGUCAGUAUAGAGAGAGCCGCCUCCAUCUUAGCUCCCUGUCAAUCAUUGUUAUAAGCUCCGCCCUUUACACCUGGCAGUCAGUAUAGAGAGAGCCACCUCCAUCCUAGCUCCCUGUCAAUCAUUGUUAUAAGCUCCGCCCUUUACACCUGGCAGUCAGUAUAGAGAGAGCCGCCUCCAUCUUAGCUCCCUGUCAAUCAUUGUUAUAAGCUCCGCCCUUUACACCUGGCAGUCAGUAUAGAGAGCCGCCUCCAUCUUAGCUCCCUGUCAGUCAUUGUUAUAAGCUCCGCCCUUUACACCUGGCUGUCAGUAUAGAGAGAGCCACCUCCAUCUUAGCUCCCUGUCAAUCAUUGUUAUAAGCUCCGCCCUUUACACCUGGCAGUAUAGAGAGAGCCACCUCCAUCUUAGCUCCCUGUCAAUCAUUGUUAUAAGCUCCGCCCUUUACACCUGGCUGUCAGUAUAGAGAGAGCCGCCUCCAUCUUAGCUCCCUGUCAGUCAUUGUUAUAAGCUCCGCCCUUUACACCUGGCAGUCAGUAUAGAGAGAGCCACCUCCAUCUUAGCCCCCUGUCAAUCAUUGUUAUAAGCUCCGCCCUUUACACCUGGCAGUCAGUAUAGAGAGAGCCACCUCCAUCUUAGCUCCCUGUCAAUCAUUGUUAUAAGCUCCGCCCUUUACACCUGUUAGUCAGUAUAGAGAGCCGCCUCCAUCUUAGCUCCCUGUCAGUCAUUGUUAUAAGCUCCGCCCUUUACACCUGGCAGUCAGCAUAGAGAGAGCCACCUCCAUCUUAGCUCCCUGUCAAUCAUUGUUAUAAGCUCCACCCUAUACACCUGGCAGUCAGUAUAGAGAGAGCCACCUCCAUCUUAGCUCCCUGUCAAUCAUUGUUAUAAGCUCCGCCCUUUACACCUGGCGGUCAGUAUAGAGAGCCACCUCCAUCUUAGCUCCCUGUCAAUCAUUGUUAUAAGCUCCGCCCUUUACACCUGGCAGUCAGUAUAGAGAGAGAGACACCUCCAUCUUAGCUCCCUGUCAAUCAUUGUUAUAAGCUCCACCCUUUACACCUGGCAGUCAGUAUAGAGAGAGCCGCCUCCAUCUUAGCUCCCUGUCAAUCAUUGUUAUAAGCUCCGCCCUUUACACCUGGCAGUCAGUAUAGAGAGAGCCGCCUCCAUCUUAGCUCCUGUCAAUCAUUGUUAUAAGCUCCGCCCUUUACACCUGGCAGUCAGUAUAGAGAGAGCCACCUCCAUCUUGGCUCCCUGUCAAUCAUUGUUAUAAGCUUAGAGAGCAUACAGAGAGGCGUAGACAUGAAACAAGGGGUAGGGAGGGGGGGGGUUAUGUAUAAAAACUGUCCCAUUCUCUUUCUCCAGAAGGUUCUGUAGAAAAUGCACCAUGUUCUUAUUUUAUAAAAACUAUUAAAUCACCAUUAUACACUGAGCUUUUCUGCCUCUUCUGUAAUACUGUUUUUCUGCCACUUUUUAUUCCUUUUUCCCCCAGUGAUGAUUUUUACCAUCACAUUCACAAAAUAUGAAGACAAACGAGUAAUAUUAGGGGGAGGGGGUGGGGGACUUUUUUAUUCCUCAAACAUAUUAAAAAAACACACUGCUUUAGAGAAUGCUAUCAGUUGGUCUCUCAUCUCCUCAUCCCUGACCUAAGCCUUUGUCUGCAGUUUCCCACCUACUGUGCUCCCUCCUCCCUUCCUUCAGGUACAUAGAAAUCUCAUUCCUUCACUUCACUCUGUGGAUUUGUCCCUUUAGAUCGCAAGCUCUUGUGGGCAGGGCCCUCUUCACCUAUUGUCUUGUUAGAAUGACUUGUUUAGCUUGUGUUACAGAAUACGAUCGUGUUAUCAUUAAAUGUUCUCGCAUAGCAAGACCACUUAAUGUUAUCUCACAUAUAUAUUAUUAAGUGUUCUUGCAUAGCAAGACCACUUAAUGUUAUCUCACAUAUAUAUUAAGUGUUCUUGCAUAGCAAGACCACUUAAUGUUAUCUCACAUAUAUAUUAUUAUUAUUAUUAUUAUAGCCAAAUUUGCCACCCUAACUCCUCCCACAGUUUUUACACUACAUAGACCAAAAAUUUACCAAAACGUGCAGAUUGUUCCCGAUCGGAUUGCUAUUACUUUGUGGAACGCUUCGACGAAUGGUUCACGGAAUAUCGUCGCUUUUGUGGCGAAAUUUGUCCCAUAGGAAUGAAUGGCAAAGCUAGAGUGGGAGCUGCCAAAAGCUGAAAAAUCAGGACAUGAUUUCUAAACUGCCACCACUCCCUUUAUUUUCAGGCCCACCUACACAAAUCUUAUAUCAAAACGUUCAGCUAUCCCUGCUGCCACUAAACAUGUCAACGGCUAAGCCGUAGUCCUGAUAGUUUUCACAAUAUGACCAUUUGUUUGCAACCAACGCCGUCCAUUGACAUUCAUUGAAACUUCACUCUGCAAAACUCAAAUUUGAAGUGCAAUUUCUAAACUGCGACUGUGCCUUUAAUUUUAAUACUUCAGAGACAUACUAUGCAUCAAAAUGUAGGUCUGGGUCUUGUGAUUCUCACAAUAUAAAGCUCUUCACUGUAGGAUGUAUAGUUCUACAGUUGUAGACGACUGGUGGAGGCAAGAACACUUCACACAAUUUCCCCAGAAAUUGUAGCUUUUCUACUUUAAAUUGUAAUUAAUUAAACAAAAAGGACUCCUCUUAAAAACUGCUUUCCUGACAUGGAAAAUUCGCAACUCUGACAGUUGCAGAAAAAAAUACAUGGAGGGAAAAAAGUGCACUUUUUAUACAUCAGAAGCAACAAAUUUGUGAACAAAAAAAAAAAAAAAGCCAAGCUGGAACAGGAAAAUACAAUGACAGAAAAGGUGUAGUACAACUUUAGUGCAAAUAAAGACACAAAUAGGAAAAGCAGCACAAACAUGCAUAGAAAGUUAUCAUGACACAAUAUUUCUAUUUCUGCAAUGUGUGCCCUGUCUGUGCUUUGUCUGAACUGGAUUAUGAUGCCAUUUGCUAAAUCUUUAAAGGGACCCUAUAGGGUCAGGAAUACAAACAUGUUAACCUGCUCCUAUAGUGUUAAAACCACUGGUCGGUACUACCCCCUUUUAAAUACAUUAAAAUAUUACAUUUAUUCCAAUGCUGCACGGGUCCGCCACCUUGUGCAGCAUUGACCCAGGAAGCACCUAUAGUAGCCGUCUCAGUUACAGUCACUGGAGGUGUCCCUAGGGAGCAAUGUAAACACUGCCUUUUCUCAGAAAAGGUAGUUUUUACAGCAAAAAGUCUACAGGGAUAGGAUAUUGACAGAAGAACAACUACAUUAAGCUGUAUACCAUCCAUUAAGCUAUAUACCGUCCAUUAAGCUAUAUACUGUUCAUUAAGCUGUAUAUAGUAUAGUAAGCUUUAUACCGUACAUUAAGCUGUAUACUAAAUAUUAAGCUGUAUAAUAUUCAUUAAGCUGUAUAUAGUAUAGUAAGCUUUAUACCGUACAUUAAGCUGUAUACUAUAUAUUAAGCUGUAUAAUAUACAUUAAGCUGUAUACUAUAUAUUAAGUUGUAUAAUAUACAUUAAACUAUAUACUAUAUAUUAUGCUGUAUAAUAUUCAUUAAGCUGUAUAAUAUACAUUAAGCUGUAUACUAUAUAUUAAGUUGUAUAAUAUACAUUAAACUAUAUAUUAAGCUGUAUAAUAUACAUUAAGCUGUAUACUGUAUAUUAAGCUGUAUAUUGUACAUUAAGCUGUAUACUAUACAUUAAGCUGUAUAACGUACAUUAAGCUGUAUAUUGUACAUUAAGCUGUAUAACGUACAUUAAGCUGUAUAUUGUACAUUUAAAACCCCUUCAGCAGCUUACCUUUAUCCAGCACCGGGCUCCCUCGGCACUGGUGACCUCUCCUCCCCCGCCGACGUCAGCUCCCAAGUGGAGCGGAGAGGAGUGCAUUCAAACAGUCCAUAGGAAAGCAUUUCUCAAUGCUUUCCUAUGGACGUUCUGGAUGCGAAUUUCGUAUCCAACGUUGCAGAAGCGCCUCUAGCGACUGUCAGGAAGACAGCCACUAGAGGCUGGAUUAACCCUGCAAUGUAAUCAUAGCAGUUUCUCUGAAACUGCUAUGUUUACAUCUGAAGGGUUAAAGCCUGAGGGACCUGGCACCCAGACCACUUCAUGAGCUGAAGUGGUCUGGGUGACUCUAGUGUCCCUUUAACUGUUACUAUAUUUUGGUAUAGUUCUCCUCAUUUCCCCUGUUCUCCUCCUCUGUAUGUAUGUAUAUAUAUAUAUAUAUAUUUAUUUAUUUUUCCCUCUCUUCCCACUUUUGUUGCAUUAGAUGGAGUUUUCUAUUUUAGCACAGACGUGUGCAUGGCUAAUCCUAUACCAGGUUUACUCCACUACUGCACACAACCUUAUUACGUUUUUGUUGUUGUUUAACCCUUACUAAUCCAUAAUUUAGGACUUGCUAUCGCUACUUCCCCUAGCCAGGCGACCUAUUCUACCCAGGCUAGUUCACUUUAUCUAUCUCUAGUAGUGAUAUUUAUUAUCAUGGUAUUGGUUUUACUUCCUUAAUACAGAUCACUCAAUUCACGUUUUUGUACACAAGCACAUUUAGAUUUUAGAUUCUAUACUGUUUAAUAAAAUGUAUUCAUUUUUCUUCUUUCUGCUUUCUAUUUUUAUUAUAUUGCUCCUUGUCUGACAGACAAUUUGUACGAAUUAGUUACCUAUAUUCAAGUACAUCUCAUUUAUCCCAGUCCCUCUUGGUACACACCUUUCGUUAGUUUAUUAAGCAGUAUACUGUAUAUUAAGCUAUAUACUGUACAUUAACCUGUAUACUGUACAUUAAGCUAUAUACCGUACAAUAAGCUGUAUACCGUACAAUAAGCUGUAUACUGUAUAUUAAGCUGUAUAUUGUACAAUAAGCUGUAUACCAUACAUUAAGCUGUAUACCGUACAUUCACAUUAAAAAGCUUUUAAAACAGUUACAGUUCAGUAAGGACAUGUAUAUAUGUUUCCAUAUCAGUGGAGUCAAUAGUGCACGUUCUGAAAACAAAACAAAACGUAAACAAAAACUGGAAUUUGCGCUAUAUGUCUGUUUAACCGUAAUUCACCGCAGUCACAUUAAGUGCACCCACACUUAUUAUAUAUCAUUUUUUUUCAGGAGAAACAGGGCUUUCAUUCAUCAUUAACUGUUCAUAUAUGGAACAUAAUUUAUUAUGAAUAAAAUUUAAAAAAAUGUAAGAAAAUAAGAUUUUCUUUUUAAAAUUUGUAUUUCCGUCUAUUUAGCUGUGAAUGUCAUAAUACUGUUAGGUUUUACUGCAAAAAAAUGCACAUAUUUGUAAUCAGCGAUGUCUCACGAGUACAACAGUACCCCCCAUUAACAGGUUUUAUGGUGUUUUGGAAAGUUACAGGGUCAAAUAUAGACUGUUCCAUUUUCAAAUUGAAAUUUUCCAGAUUAGUAAUGUUACCUUUGAGACGGUAUGGUAGCCCAGGAAUGAGAAUUACCCCCAUAAUGGCAUACCAUUUGAAAAAGUAGACAACCCAAGGUAUUGAAAGUGGGGUAUGUUUGGUCUUUUUUAGUAGCCACUUAGUCACAAACACUGGCCAAAGUUAGCGUUCAUAUUUUUUUUUGUGUGAAAAAAAGCAAAACAAAAGAAUAUUUGGCCAGUGUUUGUGACUAAGUGGCUACUAAGAAAGUCUGGACAUACCCCACUUGCAAUACCUUGGGUUGUCUACUUUUGCAAAUGGUAUGCCAUCAUGGGGGUAAUUCUCAUUCCUGGGCUACCAUAAACUCUCAAAGGCAACAUAACCAAACUGGCAAAUUUCAAUGUCAAAAAAAUUAAAUGCAAGCCUUAUAUGUGACUUUCCAAAACACCAUAAAACCUGUACAUGGGGGGUACUGUUAUUCUCGGGAGACUUUACUAAACACAAAUAUUAGUGUUUUAAAACAGUAAAACAUAUUACAACAAUAAUAUAGUCCAUAAAAGUGCAGUUCGUUUGUAAAAAAUGCAAAAAACGUCACUUUUACUUAAAAUAUCAUCGUUGUAAUACAAUUUACCAGUUUGAAACACUAAUAUUUGAGUUCAGCGAAGUCUCCCGAGUAAAACAGUACCCCCUAUGUACAGGUUUUUUGGUGUCUUGGAGGUUUACAGGGUCAAAAAUAGUGCUUGCGAAUUAAAUUCUCUGCACUUUCUCCCUGUGUUGUCAGGCAUGUCAAUCAAAUUUUAAUUAAUCAAAUCACAUAAUUAUGUUAAAAGAUUACUUAAAUAUACACGUAGACUUUUAAUAUAUAUGCAUUUAUAGGUAUUUAAAUUCUACGUGUAUACUAAUGUAAUCUUUUAUGUAAUUAUAUGUAUUUAUCUCUCUCUCUCUCUCUCUCUAUAUAUAUAUUUGCGGUUAUUUGUAUUUUAUAUAUAUAUAUAUAUAUAUAUAUAUAAUGUCAUUCUAAGUGUAUUUUGUUUCCAAUAUAUAUAUAUAAUAAUAACAAAAUACAGUUAGAAUGAAAUUACAUAUGAAUAUAUAAUUUAUAUUAAAUUUUGUUUCAAUAUUUUAUUUAUUAAUUGUAUUUUAUUUAUUAUUGUAAUUAUACGUAUAUAUAUAUAUAUAAUAUGUGUAUAUAUCUAUUAUAUAUAUAUAAUAUAUACAUAUUAUAUAUAUGUAACGUAAUUCUAAGUGUAUUUUAAUACUAAUAUAUGUACUUAAUAUUAAUAUUAAAAUACACUUUGUAUGACGUUACAUAUAUAUAAUAUGUAUAUAUAUAUAUAUAUAUAUAUAUAUAUAUAUAUAAUUAAUAUAUACACAUAUUAUAUGUCUAUAAAUAUAUUUAUUUUAUUUUCUAAUAUGUUUAAUUCUUUUUUUUUUUUACACUUUCCACCAGCAGGGGGACUGUCUGACAAUUCAGACAGUCCCCCUGCUGGCAGAUCCACAGCCAGCUAUAGGGGGCCAUGUGAUCACUCUUUGAGAGCGAUCACAUGGCCCCCGGAGGCCUCAUUUGCCGUGGGAGGGCUACCUGGGCUGUGAGGCAGUCCUCCCGAAGUGGAGCGCCGGGUAGGUAAGUAUCCCGGGCGCUCCAGGGCUCAAAGCCGUUACGGCGUUCUAUGCCGCCGCAGCGGCUUUAAAGCCCACUCAUUUCGGGGCGGCAUAGAACGCCGUAACGGCGUGAAGGGGUUAAAUAGGUCUCUAUCCCUUUUUGCUAACAGGCCUCCAGUGAUAGCGUAUCAUUUUGUACAGUUUAAUGGUUCACAUAUUGGCUAUGAAUAGCUGUGCUCCCCAGAUUUAGACUUAUGUCUAUGCAAACAGUCACUGUUUUGUCAUUGUCCCCACUAUGGUGGAGUUGGAGGAUAGUGUGAAGGAAUUACUCCAUCACUAUUCGGCUCUGUUUGUUUGGAUUUUAUGUCAUGUGUCCUUAAGGGGUUAAGCAAUUCUCCCAUGCAAGGGAGAAACCCACAAUAAUUAGUACAGUAGCCAAUCCUUUACUUGUUACCUCCCACACAUCUCCUCCCCUUAGUAUGACACAUAAUCCACUUAUACAGUAUAUGGUUUUACCCAGUUUUCAGAUGUACCCCAAAUAUAUUAGAUACAAUGUUACAUUAUAUAUCCCCUGGUAGCCCUGAUCUGGGCGAGUAACAUAUUCAAAAAUCACCCAGAUCGGACCAGGGGUUCGGGAUUUAGUUGGAAAUAGAAAUUUGACCGACCGCACAUGAGGCAGUAGCCGAAAACACUUCCAUGUGUUUUGGCCUUGCGGUCGUUCUUUGUUCGGGACAUAAAGAGCAUGAAAAACUUUGCCAUCCAGAGCUGAGGUGGGGUUCGGAUGAAUCCCCUUGUUCGGGUGAUUCAUUUAAACGAAUGAUGGCCUGAUUCGUGGUUCCGUUCGGUAGUUCUGGAGCUCUGGAGGUCUUAGCGGUGUUCGGGUAAUCGAGUGUCCGAUUUGGGUUCCAGACACUCGACGACCAAACACCGCUGAGCGUUCGUAUGCAAGAUGGCCACCGCCACGUGUUCGGAAGCCGAACGGCGGCCACCCUGCAAGCCCACAAAGAGGGUUACUCAAUUGCCAAUUUGCUGGUUGUUACAAUGACUCAGGGGUAGACGAGGGGCACACUUAUCCCUAGGGUGGUCUGAUUGUUCGGUAGUUUCAUUCGUAUGAUGAACGGAGUGAUUUUACCGAACAAUCAGUCGAAUGCUGCAUACAAUAUGAAUACACAUAGCAGGAAAUUAACGAAAGCUCAUUUUAACACAAUUUUAGCAGACAGCCCAAUGCAAUCAGCUACAAGUGACACCCUGGUGUCACCCAUUCUGUAGUCAGUGGCAUCCUGGUGUCACCCAUUCUGCAGGCAGUGACACCCUGGUGUCACCAAUUCUACAGUCAGUGACACUUUGGUCCCCCCCCCCCCAUUUUGCAGUCAGUGUCAACCUGCUCACAAUAAAGAUGUUUUCCGGGAAUAAUACUGCUUGUUUAUUAACGCCUAUUCUCGUCCGCGCAGGAGCUGAUGUCCCUGGACAGGAAGGAGAGAGCAAGGAUGGCAGAGGACACUUCCAGUGCCAGCAGUGGGUCGCCCACUCCAGGUGACACCCUGCCCUGGAAUCUAUCCAAGAACCAGCGGGUUAAGAGGUCCUCCUCUGCAUCUGGUGGUGGGACUGUGCUGGACGCGGCUGAGAGGGCAGUAAUCAGGAUUGCAGG